UACGAACUGUGCAAACGUUAUUCGGAAUCACUGGGCUUAAAGGGUGCGUAGGCGGCUCGUUAGGUAGGGUGUGAAAGCCCCCGGCUCAACCGGGGAAUUGCGCCCUAAACCGGUGGGCUGGAGUGAGAUAGGGGUGUGUGGAACUUCCGGUGGAGCGGUGAAAUGUGUUGAUAUCGGAAGGAACGCCGGUGGCGAAAGCGACACACUGGGUCUCAACUGACGCUGAGGCACGAAAGCCAGGGGAGCAAACGGG
rnacentral:rRNA from 1 species